UGGGGAAUAUUGGACAAUGGGGGCAACCCUGAUCCAGCAAUGCCGCGUGAGUGAAGAAGGCCUUAGGGUUGUAAAGCUCUUUCGCCCGCGAAGAUAAUGACGGUAGCGGGAGAAGAAGCCCCGGCUAACUCCGUGCCAGCAGCCGCGGUAAUACGGAGGGGGCUAGCGUUGUUCGGAAUUACUGGGCGUAAAGCGUACGUAGGCGGAUGCGCAAGUUGGGGGUGAAAUCCCGGGGCUUAACCUCGGAAUUGCCCUCAAAACUGCACGUCUUGAGACCGAGAGAGGUAAGGGGAAUUCCUAGUGUAGAGGUGAAAUUCGUAGAUAUUAGGAAGAACACCAGUGGCGAAGGCGCCUUACUGGCUCGGUACUGACGCUGAGGUACGAAAGCGUGGGGAGCAAACA
rnacentral:rRNA from 1 species